rnacentral:misc_RNA from 1 species
ACUAUAUUAACUACAUUUUCUUAAUCCAUGUAAAAAAAAAAGUAAGCUAUCUUUGUGGGACAGAGGGGGAGUAUUUGUUUGGAAGUGGUUAGUGGUAUAGUUUAUGAUUCAAGCGAGUAAUGAUGGUAGCAACAUUGGAACACUUUCUCUACAUAAUUCUCUUAGGACGCUAUGCCUUGAUUAAUUUUUCGUAAGGAGAAUCAUUCCUCAAAUAUUGAGUGAACUAAUAUAUAACUGAAUAGGGAAGAGAUAGAAAUUGUUUAUUGUACAACUAAAUAAUUUAAUAUAGUUCAUGAACCAAGUAAGCAAUGAUGGUUUCAACACUGGAACACUUUCUCUAUGUAAUUCUCUUAGGAUGUUGUUGAUUAAUUUUUCGUAAGUACAGAAUCAUUCCUCACAUAUUAAGUGAACUAAUAUAUAAGUGAGCACAGAAGAGAGAUAUUUUUCAUUAUAUAAGUAAUUAUUUAAUAAAAAAAAUUCAGUAUUAUUACACUCUAUUGUGUAGCCCAACCACUGUAUUUAAGUUAAAAAAAAAGGUUAAUAUUUCAACUCAAGGCAAUUAAGGUGUAAAUCAAUCAAGACACAAUCUUCAAAUGGUGGAAGAGUAUGUCAAGGAAUAAGGGAUACUGAUGUCAAAAUAAAAUAUGAAUAUGAAGUCAUCAAUUGUACCGCAUUGUGCAUGGAAGCAAUUAAAAUCAUUUCAGAUAUAUCUAAUUGAUGUACUGUUUUUCUUGUUUCCUCAAACUUGUGGCAUGGAUUAAUCAGAAUUUGUGGAAUGAUGAGGAAUCUAGAUUCCAAAAUGUGAAUAGGGUUUAUAAUACAUAUAAAUGAGGUGGUGUGAUGAGUGAUGUUUCCAGGUUCUUAGAUGCACCAUCUGAAGAUUCUUUCUAAGCAACUGGUUUCUUUAUUAAUACAUUUCUUCUUAAUCUUAAUUCAAAACCAAACAGUCAUUUCUGUUUGAACAAUAAACCAUACAUCGCUCCAGAAUCGAUAGAAGUGAAAUUCUCUAGGCAGUGACACAAUUUUUGCACCCAAUUACUAAGCUGAAUAUAUUGUAAAGGGAGAAUCAAUCCAUCCGUGGUAUGUAGAAAUAUAAUCACGAGGCUUUUGGAUUUUAUAUGCUGAGAUAAUUGCGGUUGUUACUAAUUAGUAUUUAGUAAUAUUUUUUGGAAAUGCUGAACCAUUAUUUACACUUGUCUAUCUUUUUCUUCUUGUUUGACUUUCUAUUUGUUUCCUGCAUUGAAAUGCACUUGCAUUUGGAAUUAUGACAAAACAGUGAUGAACUGUCAUUUGCCUUCAAAAAGAUGCAUGGAUUCUCCACUGCUGAUGGCUUUGUGGAGAUAACUGAGUGCUUGGCGGAGAUGAUUAAGUACGUGGCAAAUGAACCCUCAGCAGGGCUUUUCUAUGUUCAGCAGCACACACAAAAUGCCGUUCCCAAUUUAAUUAAUCUCAAGAAUAAUAUUAAAGAGAAGUCACAUGAAACACUUUUGCACACUGAAGACUUGGAAGAUUCUAUCACCGUGGUGAGGUCAAUGAAAGAUUGUGGUUUCCCCAUUGCUGAUGAGAUGGUUAGAGACAUCAAGACAUCUCUAGCUAUGAUGUCAUCAAAACAACCAAGAAGAGGAUUAAUCCAUGGCCCAACUUCAAAUUUUCAAAUGGGAACAACUAUCUCAUGGGGACCGUCCACUUGGGGUCAAAAUGGAGUCCGGCAGGAAAGCAGAACUAGUAGUUAUUUUUCAUCUGUAUUUAAGACUGCAAAAGAAAGGGCCAGCAAUUUCAAGUGGCCACAGCUUGAUCUGAAAGAUUCAAAACCAACUCCAUCUGAGAAACUAGAGUCUUACAAUAAUCCAUCGGAGUUGGUUGCAUCUGCUAGCACUGGUUCAUCUUUGCCUGAAAUGGAAUCUGAUGAACUGCGCAUAUCUGGUGAGGCUGCUGAUGAGCUAAAAACGGAAGAUGAAAAAGUUGAGAUGAACUUGCCACCUCCCUAUGUAUUGUCCCUAUCAGAAAACUAUGAUGAUUUCAAAGCUGAUAAAGAAGCCAAACUGGAGGAGUGGUUGGGUGAGUGUGGUGACAGCCUAGAUAAAUUACAAGACGGCAAGUGAUGCAAAGGCAUGGGUGUUUUCUUGAAUUCUUUCUUCUUUUUGAUUUUUCUUCUUGUAGCAACAGUUUAGAUACUGGGGAAGCUUUUACUUGUAAAAUCUGUUGUUUGUAGUACACUGAUCCCUGGAUAAUGAUGAUGAUGAUUAUAUUUAUGUUUGUACAUUGUGUUUGCAACCAAAAUGAUCAUGAAAUUCAUUCCUCUUGCAAAUGAUUAAUAUAAAAUUCAUCUAUGUUUUCU